CUUUAAUCAUUGAUUUUUCUUAAGAAAUUUCUUCUUAAUAUUUGAUUUGUUUAAUUAAUUUUAGGAGGAGCAAGAAAGAGCCCUAAUUCCUAAGCCGUGGAGCAUCUUCACAAAAGGGAUUGACUCUCAAAGAAAUUAGAGAGAUGGAUUAUCUUGCAAAGAUAAUUCAAGAGACAUUGAGGAAAGCUAACCUUCUGCUUAUGUAUAUUCGAGAGGCAAAAAGGGAUGUUGUGAUAAACGAGUUGAAAAGAUUAAUCCAGGAUGUGCAGUGAAGUAUUUGCCUGAGCCGCUUCCUGUUGACAACUUUCUUGCAAAAAUUACGAAGCUCUAAUUAUAAUCAACCUUUUAAGCAAUUAUAUAAAUAAGGGGAAAAAAGCAAGACUACAUGUAUGUGUAUAUAUGUGUGUAUGUGUGUCGAAGUGUACUUAUUUAUUAUAUAAAUAAGUAAUUCUGAAUUGUACUAUUGUUUAUCUCUACAAAAACAUCUUUGAGUUAUAUUGCGAUGUCAAUUGCCUUUGUCCGGCAGAGA